rnacentral:rRNA from 1 species
UUGCAGUUAAAAAGCUCGUAGUUGGAUUUUUAAGGGUGCCAGCUAGGCUAGGCCUUAAGUGUCUUUGCCUAGGAUGGUUCCUCUUAUUUUGCGCUUACGCUCGAUUGGGAUUCGUUUCCUGAUUGUGCAGUCGGCGCGUGUUUACUUUGAGAAAAUUAGAGUGUUCAAAACAGUCUCACGAUUGUAUAUCAUAGCAUGGAAUAAUAACUGAUGACUUCGGUCAAUUUUUUAUUGGUUUGGAUGGCUGAUGUAAUGAUUGAUAGAGUUAGUCGGAGGUAUUAGUAUUUUAUCGUUAGAGGUGAAAUUCACGGAUCGAUAAAAGACUAACAACUGCGAAAGCAUUUAUCUAGGAUUUGCUCUUUGAUCAAGAACGAAAGUUGGGGGAUCGAAGACGAUCAGAUACCGUCGUAGUCUCAACCUUAAACUAUACCAGCUAGGGAUUGGCAAACGUUAAUUUUGACUUUGUCAGAACCUUAUGAGAAAUCAAAGCAUUUGGGUUCCGGGGGGAGUAUGG